AAACUUAUAGAGGAGGCUGUGAGAUUAAGGAGGAUGACAUAUUGAGAGCCCAGAGAAACACAGAGUAUAAUAUAAGCCCUUAUUACAUUACCCUCUGGAAGAUGAAUUGGAGCUGCCAAACAUUUGCCUAAAUCAAUAAACAGUGUGGCAUUAACUAGUAUGAGGUUUAUUUUUCCUCUCCAAAUGAGGAGUAGUUGGUGUACAGGGAAUGCACAAACCCCACACACCUGUUCUUUGUCAAAGACUGCCAAGAGCAAAAGUUCCAUCUAAAGAAAACAGAAAGGAAGGAACACGAGGGUUCUGAAGUCACUCAGACCCGGCUUCAGACCCAGGCCCUGACAGUUUACAGCUGUGUGACCUGGACUUCAGUUUCCUAAUCUGAAAAAUGGGGAUGAUAAGCCAUUCUUCAUCACCACAGUGGUGGCUGGCAUGCUUGAUUCCUCUCUCCCCUGAGUCCUGCCAACUCCACCCACUUAAUAUAUCCACAUUUCUUACACUUUCUGGCACCAUCUUGGUCCAAGUCAAGGUCAUUUCCUCUUGGUCCAAGUCAAGGCCUCCUCCCAGAUUUCCCUGAUUUCUCUCUUGCUCCUUUCUCCAGUCCAUUCUCUACACGAGAGCCAGAAUUGUCAUUUAAAACCAAAUCACAUCAUGUUACCACUCCACUCAAACCAUCCACCUGCAAACUCCUCUCUGUGCCCUGAGAAGUGUGCUUGAUCUGAUCUCUGCUUCUUGCUCCUGCUCUUCUAUCCCUCCUUUUGCCUUGACUACCCAGUUCCAGUCACAUUGGUUGGCUUUCUAUUCCUUAAACACAUGGUGCUUCUCUCUACCCCAGGGCCUUUGCACUGGCUGUUACCACUGCUGGGUGUGUUAUGCCCUCUGAUGUUUGCAUGACCCUCUUCUUGUAAUUCAGAUUUCAGCUCAAAUGCCACUUCUACAAAUGGCCUCCUUUUCUAAAAAGCUUUCUGCCCUGCCAGUCUCUUUCUUUUGCAUUUCUCUGUUUAAUUUAUUCUCAUAGCAUUGAUUACAUUCCAAAUGAUCUCACUCAUUUGCAUGUUUUCAUGUUUAUGGCCUGACUUGCUUAUUAGAAUGUAAACUUCAAGAGAGCAGGGAUCUCAUCUACUUUUCCCCCUUGCUCUAUCACCAGUGUUUAGUGCAGUGCUUAAUGCAUACAAUGCCCCAGUAGAAUUUUGAAAUUGAAAAAUAUUGAAGAGUCAUUUGGUAAAGAAAAGCUUCUUUUCUUUCUUCCUAUCCUGCUAAGGUCUGAGGGCCCUUAGGUGUAGAUUUUUGGUGCAAGUGAAUAAUACACCUGGUUUGUAGAGAGUUCUAAGAAAACAUUGUUUGUUUUAAGUUGCCCUGUUGAGCUUUGCAAGCCUUUUUCUAGGACCAGCCUGACUUUGGUGGCUCUCAGAAUGGAGAGCAAGUGUGGGGUCCUGAGUCUCACCCAAGUGACCCCCAACCUGGAAACGUGUGCUUCUGCUUCAGAGGGUUCCUGCAGUAGACACAAAGCCCUUCAUCCAUUCAUUCAUUUAACAAGUACUGUGUCGUUGGGGGCUGAGCCCCUCAAGGGGCCAGUCACAGAG
rnacentral:lncRNA from 1 species